CCUACGGGAGGCAGCAGUGGGGAAUAUUGGACAAUGGGCGCAAGCCUGAUCCAGCCAUACCGCGUGGGUGAAGAAGGCCUUCGGGUUGUAAAGCCCUUUUGUUGGGAAAGAAAUCCAGCUGGUUAAUACCCGGUUGGGAUGACGGUACCCAAAGAAUAAGCACCGGCUAACUUCGUGCCAGCAGCCGCGGUAAUACGAAGGGUGCAAGCGUUACUCGGAAUUACUGGGCGUAAAGCGUGCGUAGGUGGUCGUUUAAGUCUGUUGUGAAAGCCCUGGGCUCAACCUGGGAACUGCAGUGGAAACUGGACGACUAGAGUGUGGUAGAGGGUAGCGGAAUUCCUGGUGUAGCAGUGAAAUGCGUAGAGAUCAGGAGGAACAUCCAUGGCGAAGGCAGCUACCUGGACCAACACUGACACUGAGGCACGAAAGCGUGGGGAGCAAACAGGAUUAGAUACCCUGGUAGUCCACGCCCUAAACGAUGCGAACUGGAUGUUGGGUGCAAUUUGGCACGCAGUAUCGAAGCUAACGCGUUAAGUUCGCCGCCUGGGGAGUACGGUCGCAAGACUGAAACUCAAAGGAUUGACGGCUGAGACGNGCGACGACGACGACGAGGGAGGAGG
rnacentral:rRNA from 1 species